GGUGCGACUGUGUUCCAGUAAAACGCUAGUUACCAAAAUGGACGAUGGGCUGAGCCCUGGCUGGAAGAAGAGCCCAUAAACCUCUUAAGGUCCCCAGUUUACAAACAGUGAAGGGAAUGCAAGGUUUUAUCUUUAAGGAAGGUGUGAAGACGUUGGUCACAGGAAGGAUAUGGAACCAGAAAGAGCUAGCACGGCUCAGGCACAUGGGCAUCAACAGGUCACAAGGAAAGAAAGUGAGGUCGACUCUUCAGGAUGGAAGUCCGUCAAAGGACUAAUUUUCCUCUUUUUUCUCUGGAGGCUAGCACGGAGAGACAGAGAUGGACCAAGCUUCCUAUCCGCCUGAAAGUUUUUACGGCACGCUGGCUGAAAUCAUACGUGCAUGCAAAAAGUCUACCAGGACCCCAGAGAGCCCCCGUGUAUCGGCACAACCUGAUGGUUCUGCAGGGAUCUAUGCCGUAUAGACCGGCAGCCAGAUGCCAACGUGCUGGCAGGUGCUCAGCUGAUGAAGGAAGUGACCACAGGGAGCAUAUGCAGCAGAACCCACAGUGAACUUUACCACGUGACCCUGGGCAUGCCUGCUGACCUGGGGGCCAAGGUCAUUAGCAGCUGAUACGCCAAAGAGUUGAAAGUUUUCACUAGAAAAGACAGCUCAUAUGAGGGCCUCAGCUACUCACAGGGUCAGUCGCUACAUAGAUUCACAAAAUCUAUUCAGAUAAAGUGAUGCUUCGAUCUCAUCCCGCUCCCCAGUUCUGCCACAGCGGUAACCUUUGAUACACGCGUGUAGGGAAGAAAUUACGUACGCGUGUGUGUAAGUGUACAUUUUUCCAGUUUCUGCCAAUGAACUGCUUGCUCUAGGAAAGAAGAUCUUUAAGCUGUCAUAGGCACUAAGAAUAGAGAACUGUAAAAUUCUCUGAAGUGGUUUCUAUCUCCUAGUUGGAAUACGAUGUCUGUUUGGAACUUACUUUUACCCUUUAACUUGAAUAAAUUACACAGAGAUAGUAACUGUAUAUAUAACAC